rnacentral:scRNA from 1 species
AGGGAGGUAUAAGAAGGUGAAACUAUUAAGGCAUAUAGUUUUCACUGAUACCCACCUCCAAAAGUGAAAGUGGUAGUGUGAACCACCUGAUCUUCAGAGAUAAGGUUCUGCGUGCUUUGCACCUACCCACAAAG